AGGUUAAGCUAGUAAGAGCGCACGGAGGAUGCCUAGGCACCAGGAGCCGAAGAAGGACGUGGCGAACAACGAUACCGCCUCGGGGAGCCGUAAGCAGGCAUUGAUCCGGGGAUUUCCGAAUGGGGAAACCCAGCAGUCGUAAUGGACUGUUACUGUCGAGUGAAUACAUAGCUCGUCAAGAGGCAUACCGGGGGAACUGAAACAUCUAAGUACCCCGAGGAAGAGAAAACAAAAGUGAUUCCGUCAGUAGCGGCGAGC
rnacentral:rRNA from 1 species